rnacentral:rRNA from 1 species
AUUGAACGCUGGCGGCAGGCCUAACACAUGCAAGUCGAGCGAGCGGCGGACGGGUGAGUAAUGUAUGGGGAUCUGCCAGAUAGGGGGGGAUAACUACGGGAAACGGUGGAUAACACCGCAUACUAACGGGUGAACCCAUGGGGGAUUGGCUAGUAGGGGGGGUAAAGGCUCACCUAGGCGACGAUCUCUAGCUGGUCCGAGAGGAUGAACAGCCACACUGGAACUGAGACACGGCCCAGACUCUGACGGGAGGCAGCAGUGGGGAAUAUUGCACAAUGGGCGCAAGCCUGAUGCAGCCAUGCCGCGUGUAUGAAGAAGGCCUUAGGGUUGUAAAGUACUUUCAGCGGGGAGGCGUUACCCGCAGAAGAAGCACCGGCUAACUCCGUGCCAGCAGCCGCGGUAAUAC